GGGAUGCGUAACACGUAUGCAAUCUGCCUCGUACUUGGGCAUAACUCCGAGAAAUCCGGUGCUAAUUCCCAAUAACACUAUGAAGUGGCAUCUCUUUAUAGUUAAAGCUCCGGCGGUACGAGAUGAGCAUGCGCCCAAUUAGCUAGUUGGUGAGGUAAUGGCUCACCAAGGCUACGAUUGGUAGGGGUUCUGAGAGGAUGAUCCCCCAUACUGGUACUGAGACACGGACCAGACUCCUACGGGAGG
rnacentral:rRNA from 1 species